rnacentral:tRNA from 1 species
GCGUGGGUUAUCUCAGUGGUUAGAGCUUAGGUCUCGUAAUCGGUAGAUUCCGGGAUCGAAUCCCGCUAGAGGCA